CCAAUAGCGUAUAUUAAAGUUGUUGCAGUUAAAAAGCUCGUAGUUGAAUUUCGGGAUCAAUACGUCGGUCGUGCUUCGGUACGUACUGGCGUCAUUGAUUUCUCCCUUCUGACGAACCAUGAUGUCAUUAGCUUGGUGUCAUGGGAAAUCAGGACUGUUACUUUGAAAAAAUUAGAGUGUUUAAAGCAGGCUCACGCUUGAAUACAUUAGCAUGGAAUAAUGAAAUAGGACGUUCGAUCCUAUUUUGUUGGUUUUAGGAUCAACGUAAUGAUUAAUAGGGAUAGUUGGGGGCAUUAGUAUUCAAUUGUCAGAGGUGAAAUUCUUGGAUUUAUUGAAGACUAACUACUGCGAAAGCAUUUGCCAAGGAUGUUUUCAUUAAUCAAGAACGAAAGUUAGGGGAUCGAAGACGAUCAGAUACCGUCGUAGUCUUAACCAUAAACUAUGCCGACUAGGGAUCGGAUGAUGUUAAUUUUUUAAUGACUCAUUCGGCGCCUUACG
rnacentral:rRNA from 1 species